rnacentral:misc_RNA from 1 species
GAUGAAGAACGCAGUGAAAUGCGAUAAGUAGUGUGAAUUGCAGAAUUCAGUGAAUCAUCGAAUCUUUGAACGCACAUUGCGCCCUUUGGUAUUCCAAAGGGCAUGUCUGUUCGAGCGUCAUUUGUACCCUCAAGCUUUGCUUGGUGUUGGGCGUCUUGUCUCUAGCUUUGCUGGAGACUCGCCUUAAAGUAAUUGGCAGCCGGCCUACUGGUUUCGGAGCGCAGCACAAGUCGCACUCUCUAUCAGCAAAGGUCUAGCAUCCAUUAAGCCUUUUUUUCAACUUUUGACCUCGGAUCAGGUAGGGAUACCCGCUGAACUUAAGCAUAUCAAUAAGCGGAGGA